UGUGUCCCAAUUCGAGGGCUGCAGCCUCCGAAGGCUGGUUUUAAGGCCGCAUACGUCACUUCCGGUGAAAGAAGGCCUGUCCCAUUUCAUUUUUAUGUCAUGCAGCCUUCAAAUGCAGCCCUAAAACCGGCCUCGUUUCCAUGGAAAUGGGGCCGCGAACGGAGGACACAUCCGAGUAUCCUUCGCAGCCUUCAGUAUCCCAGCAUGCACCGCGCGGCGGCAGUCAGAUGUUCGAAAACACGGAGCAAAAAGCCGGUCCCGAGAGCGGAGAAAAACAUCCUCCAGUAUGAGGACACAGCACACUGCAGGGGCCACAGAACUGUUGGCUGACAAGAUGCUUGUGAUUCAUAAAAUGGGUCAAAUGCAGAUGACAAAGUAAAGCCAACACUGAGCUGGAGGUGCUGACCCAGACUCCUGCCAACGAUUAGGUUUUCACUCUGCAGGACAGAACUUUGAAUCAAUCAGACGCAACAACCAUUCUGCUCUUCCUCCUCCAGAAGACGAGAGAUACAUCAGACUGAGUGGUCCAAGUCCACUGUCCAUGUCUCCAAUGUCCAUGUCUCCACUGUCCAUGUCUCCAAUGUCCAUGUCUCCAAUGUCCAUGUCUCCAAUGUCCAUGUCCAGAGUCUCUGAGGAGGAGGUCCAGAGUCUCAUAUGAUCUGAACAAGUGUGUGAGAUAGAAAUGAAAACAUCUGCUCAUAAGUGUUUCUGAAUGUUUUUCAGCCUGUACUGACAUUUGAUUUAUGGUGAAAUGUGCCAUUUAUUUGGUGUCUCUUUUGAUAGUAACUAAUUACAUGUACUAUAAGAAUGUACUAUUGUACUGCAGAUAAGAUGUGGUAUUCCACAUGAUCAUAUCUGGCAAAGAUAAUUUGUUCAUUUUUGAUUGUCACUUGCUUCAGCAAAAAGGGAACACAAUGAGAUUUACUGACAUACAGCUGUUUGUACUAACUUGUUAAUGCAGAGUGUGUGUAAUGGGUUUAAUAUUUGACUUCAUAUUAUGAUAAAGUAUUUCCAGAAGUUCCUUGGAUUGUUUAAUAAAUCAUCUUUUCUCAGGA